rnacentral:rRNA from 1 species
GACGAACACUGGCGGCGUGCUUAACACAUGCAAGUCGAACGGAAAGGCCCUGCUUUUGUGGGGUGCUCGAGUGGCGAACGGGGGAGUAACACGUGAGUAACCUGCCCUUGACUUUGGGAUAACUUCAGGAAACUGGGGCUAAUACCGGAUAGGAGCUCCUGCUGCAUGGUGGGGGUUGGAAAGUUUCGGCGGUUGGGGAUGGACUCGCGGCUUAUCAGCUUGUUGGUGGGGUAGUGGCUUACCAAGGCUUUGACGGGUAGCCGGCCUGAGAGGGUGACCGGCCCCAUUGGGACUGAGAUACGGCCCAGACUCCUACGGGACGCAACAGUGGGGAAUAUUGCACAAUGGGCGGAAGCCUGAUGCAGCAACGCCGCGUGCGGGAUGACGUCCUUCGGGUUGUAAACCGCUUUCGCCUGUGACGAAGCGUUAGUGACGGUAAUGGGUAAAGAAGCACCGGCUAACUACGUG